rnacentral:tRNA from 1 species
UAUUAGUUAGUGUAAGAGCACAUUUAAUUUUGAUUUAAAUAGAAAUGGUUUAAUUCCAUUAUAGUAU